CACCUAUAGUCAAUGUCCAGAAUCUAUAAAGGUGUAAAGGUCUACAUUUAGUCAAUGUCCAGAAUCUGUAAAGGUGUAAAGGUCCACCUAUAGUCGAUGUCCAGAAUCUGUAAAGGUCCACCUAUAGUCAAUGUCCAGAAUCUGUAAACGUCCACCUAUAGUCAAUGUCCAGAAUCUGUAAAGGUCUACCUUUAGUCAAUGUCCAGAAUCUGUAAAGGUCUACCUAUAGUCAAUGUCCAGAAUCUGUAAAGGUCUACCUAUAGUCAAUGUCCAGAAUCUGUAAAGGUCUACCUUUAGUCAAUGUCCAGAAUCUGUAAAGGUCUACCUAUAGUCAAUGUCCAGAAUCUGUAAAGGUCCACCUAUAGUCAAUGUCCAGAAUCUAUAAAGGUGUAAAGGUCUACAUUUAGUCAAUGUCCAGAAUCUGUAAAGGUCUACCUAUAGUCAAUGUCCAGAAUCUGUAAAGGUCCACCUAUAGUCAAUGUCCAGAAUCUGUAAAGGUCCACCUAUAGUCAAUGUCCAGAAUCUAUAAAGGUGUAAAGGUCUACCUAUAGUCAAUGUCCAGAAUCUGUAAAGGUCCACCUAUAGUCAAUGUCCAGAAUCUAUAAAGGUGUAAAGGUCUACAUUUAGUCAAUGUCCAGAAUCUGUAAAGGUGUAAAGGUGUAAAGGUCCACCUAUAGUCAAUGUCCAGAAUCUGUAAAGGUCCACCUAUAGUCAAUGUCCAGAAUCUGUAAAGGUGUAAAGGUCCACCUAUAGUCAAUGUCCAGAAUCUGUAAAGGUCCACCUAUAGUCAAUGUCCAGAAUCUGUAAAGGUCCACCUAUAGUCAAUGUCCAGAAUCUGUAAAGGUGUAAAGGUCCACCUAUAGUCAAUGUCCAGAAUCUGUAAAGGUCCACCUAUAGUCAAUGUCCAGAAUCUAUAAAGGUGUAAAGGUCUACCUAUAGUCAAUGUCCAGAAUCUGUAAAGGUCCACCUAUAGUCAAUGUCCAGAAUCUAUAAAGGUGUAAAGGUCUACAUUUAGUCAAUGUCCAGAAUCUGUAAAGGUGUAAAGGUGUAAAGGUCCACCUAUAGUCAAUGUCCAGAAUCUGUAAAGGUCCACCUAUAGUCAAUGUCCAGAAUCUGUAAAGGUGUAAAGGUCCACCUAUAGUCAAUGUCCAGAAUCUGUAAAGGUCCACCUAUAGUCAAUGUCCAGAAUCUGUAAAGGUGUAAAGGUCCACCUAUAGUCAAUGUCUGGAGUCAAUGUCCAGAAUCUGUAAAAGUGUAAAGGUCCACCUAUAGUCAAUGUCCAGAAUCUGUAAAGGUGUAAAGGUCUACCUUUAGUCAAUGUCCAGAAUCUGUAAAGGUCUACCUUUAGUCAAUGUCCAGAAUCUGUAAAGGUGUAAAGGUCCACCUAUAGUCAAUGUCCAGAAUCUGUAAAGGUGUAAAGGUCCACAUAUAGUCAAUGUCCAGAAUCUGUAAAGGUCUACCUUUAGUCAAUGUCCAGAAUCUGUAAAGGUCUACCUUUAGUUAACGUCUGAAGCCAAUAUCGAUCCAGGAUCUGUUAACAGCUAAUUAUGACCAAUGUCCAAAUAAUAUCCAUGUUAGAUAAAAUGUCCAGUACUGCAUUAAAACAGGGAGCUAAUGGAAUGUUUAUCAUUUGACAAGACAUCUGGCGUGAAGACGUAGUUUUGACUUAUAGGUAGGACUAGAAUUAAGAGCAUAGCUACCGGCUCUUAAAUCACUUAUAUUGUCAAUGGGCCAUAAAACUAA